AACGAGUCGAUCAGUGUAACAACAUUUGGCGUUUACAAAGCUAAACUUGAGUGAUAACCAAAACAGAGUGACUAGCUGAUAUUAGCUGAAGAAUUGGAAAUUUUUUUCAAGUGUAGGAAAAGUAUAAACAAAUUAAAACAACAAAAUGCCUUGCCCAUGUGGAAGCGGUUGCAAAUGCGGUUCGGAGCCUAAGACUGGCAAUUGCGGUUGUGGUGCGGCGUGCAAAUGCUGUCCCUGUGGAAGUGCUUGCAAAUGCGGCUCACAAUCACAAAGUGGCAGCUGCGGUUGCGGCUCAAGCUGCAAAUGUGGCCAGUAGAGGAGUGCAAAUAUCCGAUAACCGUACCUUAUUAUGUUUAAGCUACAUACAUACAUACUCGUAUGUUAAUUCUAAAUUAUUUUCGUAAUUUAAUCUCGUAAUUAUACACAAACAUAUGUACAUAUAAUGAGAAAUAGUCGUUUAUACAUUAAUGUGCGUGCUUGACACCAAAAUAAGCCUAUCACAUUUCUUUAUCAAUAAAUAACAAAAUGAAAACAAAUUCCUCUAA